AUACGGAGGGUGCAAGCGUUACUCGGAAUCACUGGGCGUAAAGCGCGCGCAGGCGGGCUGAUAAGUUGGAUGUGAAAGCCUACGGCUCAACCGUAGAACUGCAUCCAAAACUGUCAGGCUAGAGUGUGGGAGAGGAAGAUGGAAUUAGUUGUGUAGGGGUAAAAUCCGUAGAGAUAACUAGGAAUACCAAAAGCGAAGGCAAUCUUCUGGAACACUACUGACGCUGAGGCGCGAAGGCGUGGGGAGCAAACAGGAGUAGAAACCCCAGUAGUCC
rnacentral:rRNA from 1 species